rnacentral:rRNA from 1 species
CCUACGGGUGGCAGCAGUGGGGAAUAUUGGACAAUGGGGGGAACCCUGAUCCAGCCAUGCCGCGUGUUUGAAGAAGGCCCUCGGGUUGUAAAGCACUUUCAGUGAGGAAGAACGCCUGGUGGUUAAUACCCAUCAGGAAAGACAUCACUCACAGAAGAAGCACCGGCUAACUCCGUGCCAGCAGCCGCGGUAAUACGGAGGGUGCGAGCGUUAAUCGGAAUUACUGGGCGUAAAGCGAGCGUAGGUGGCUUGAUAAGCCGGGUGUGAAAGCCCCGGGCUCAACCUGGGAACGGCAUUCGGAACUGUCAAGCUAGAGUGCAGGAGAGGAAGGUAGAAUUCCCGGUGUAGCGGUGAAAUGCGUAGAGAUUGGGAGGAACACCAGUGGCGAAGGCGGCCUUCUGGACUGAAACUGACACUGAGGCGCGAAAGCGUGGGUAGCAAACAGGAUUAGAUACCCUAGUAGUC